GCGCGGCGCAGCCCGCAGUUCCCGCAUCCAUCGCUCGGCGCGGCCCGGGAGCAGCGCACGGUGCUGCAGUUUGUGACCGCGUCUGGCCUUGAUCUUCUCAGCAGCAGAUCAGGAUCCCAAAGCCCUUCACUGCAAGACACCUGCACCUUGCAGUGUGGCAGCCUUGAUGUAAAUAGGUAGACACGUACACACUUCACUUGAAUCAGCAGAGCAGCUCCCGGUAGCAAAGCCAAGACCGUAAGUGCAUGCUGGAUUGGACCCAAGGGUGAGCAGGGUGGGCACAGGCUCCCCUUGGGAAAGGAGCACGCAGGGACACCUCACGGCAGCUUUCAGGGGACCAG